ACUUUCAGGCUCCUUAUCCUGACCUGCAAAGCCCCCACGAUCUUGUCACAGCUGUUCUAAACCCCACCUUUCACUUUUGCUUUCAGUACUCUCCACCUGACCCAGCCCUCUGCCCAGCCUUCCAAGCCACAUGGGCAGGAAGCGUUGUGCUGCCCACUCCUGCUUGGUUUACUGUGCCUGCCUUUAACCUCUUGCCUUCUGCAAACCCAUCCUCCUCUCCUCUCUGACAAGGGCCAUCACCGUCUUCAUAAAGAGAGCCAGUGACAAGUCCUGCCCUGGGACCUAGGAAAGACCCAAGAAGCCAGGAUUAUCCAGAACCCCAGAUCUGCUGACUCCUCCAUGUCCCCCGCCAAGGCUGGAGAAAGGCAGAACACUAACCUGAGACAGGUUCCACACAAAAAUAACUGAAGAUGGGCCUCCAGUCUUACGACGCCACAAAGUGCCCUGACACCACUGAACACGAAAACUCAUUGCAGAGUUCCCAAACAGGACCUGUUCCUUUGAAGAUCAUCCGCACCGUGAAGAUGCCCAGUUCAAUGGGUGUGGCUGGGAUCACGUAUUGCAAUAACACAAACAAAAGGAGUUUAAACAUGUAAUAUUCCUAUCACCUGAAUUAUUAAGAUAAAAUGUCAUUUAACUGGAAGGAUUCCUGGAUAUUGUAAGAGAACACGCAGGUCUAGUUCAUUCGAUUGUUCACACACAGUCCCGUGCACCGUGUGUCAGCAUAGGCGAAUGGGAAGUUUGCGCGUUGAGUGGGGUGUGAAUGGAGAAUUUGCCCAAGAGACUUGACCAGCCGUGUUCCCUGCUGUCAUCUCAGUAUCUAUAACAGCAUCGGCACAUGGCAAGCAUUCCAUUGAAUGAAUGGAUGACUCCACAGAAAGAUAUCAAAAGCACAAAGAGUCUUUAGUGGC